rnacentral:rRNA from 1 species
AGCGAACGCUGGCGGCAGGCCUAACACAUGCAAGUCGAACGAACCUUUCGGGGUUAGUGGCGGACGGGUGAGUAACACGUGGGAACGUGCCUUUAGGUUCGGAAUAACUCAGGGAAACUUGUGCUAAUACCGAAUGUGCCCUUCGGGGGAAAGAUUUAUCGCCUUUAGAGCGGCCCGCGUCUGAUUAGCUAGUUGGUUGAGGUAAUGGCUCACCAAGGCGACGAUCAGUAGCUGGUCUGAGAGGAUGAUCAGCCACAUUGGGACUGAGACACGGCCCAAACUUCUACGGGAGGCAGCAGUGGGGAAUCUUGCGCAAUGGGCGAAAGCCUGACGCAGCCAUGCCGCGUGAAUGAUGAAGGUCUUAGGAUUGUAAAAUUCUUUCACCGGGGACGAUAAUGACGGUACCCGGAGAAGAAGCCCCGGCUAACUUCGUG